AGAGUUUGAUCCUGGCUCAGGAUGAACGCUAGCUACAGGCUUAACACAUGCAAGUCGGAGGGGAAACGACAUCGAAAGCUUGCUUUUGAUGGGCGUCGACCGGCGCACGGGUGAGUAACGCGUAUCCAACCUGCCCACCACGUUGGGGAUAACCUUGCGAAAGUAAGACUAAUACCCAAUGACGGUCUCUACGGAAGACAAUCUGAAGGAGAUUAAAGAUUUAUCGGUGAUGGAUGGGGAUGCGUCUGAUUAGCUUGUUGGCGGGGUAACGGCCACCAAGGGCGACGAUCAGUACGGGGUUCUGAGAGGAAGGUCCCCCACAGUUGGAACUGAGGACACGGUCCAAACUCCUACGGGAGGCA
rnacentral:rRNA from 1 species